UUAUAAGCUAUGUCAUGUGUAGUAAUACUUUUCCUUUCCGUGUAGGCUUGUAUAAUACUGUUAUCUUAGGAAUUAAGGAUGAGUGAUUUGAUUUGUGUAUGAAAAUGGUGAGAAUGAAGAAGCGUACGUGAAGCAAGCACUAGCGGCAGGGAUUGUACAUUGAAGGUUCGAACGGUGCGAAAUGCGAAAAGAACCAAUGAAUCUGAAAAGCGGGCCCCACAUCGAGCCACGUAUGACAUAAAUCUUUCUUCUUCUUCGUCGUCGUCGUUGGUCUUCACCGCCAACAACCUCUCCUCCUCGUCCCUCCCCAAUCGCAAAAUUCAAUCGCUUCUUCUUCAGCUUACACUACAGGAUCGCCUCUUUCAAAUCAAUAUUCAUUCACAAUUUAUUAGAAUAUCCUUUUUCAAUAAUUCCGCGAUCCACACUUCCCCAAAGUCCACGCCCUACGAUUCUUUCUGAAUUGAAUUAUUUAUCCACGUUUUAUUUUUUCUUAGAUUGAGCGUUACGAAAUCGAGAUUGAAUUUAUGAGAGGGAAUAGAAGAAGAAUUAUUAGGGAGGAUGCAAGCGGUGGGUAGAAUAAUUAGUCAGGGCGUGGUCAGGUUUUCAGGGCCGUUUCAUCCGUUUGGUGGCGCCGUUGAUAUUGUGGUGGUGGAACAGAAAGAUGGUACUUUCAAGUCCUCUCCUUGGUACGUUCGAUUCGGCAAAUUCCAAGGGGUUUUGAAGGCAAGGGAAAAGGUUGUUGAUAUCUGUGUCAAUGGGGUUCAAGCUGACUUCCAAAUGCAUCUUGAUCAUACAGGGGAAGCCUUUUUUCUCAGGGAAAUCGAUGCACAAGGACAAGAAGAAGAAGAUGCUAUUUUGAUGUUUCCGUCUUCUUCCGCUGAUGAUGAGGCAGAUGAUCACUCUCGCUCUCACUCUCUCAGGUCCAAGAGUUUGAAUUAUGAUGCUGCAGCUGCUGCUGAGGUUGUGGGAAGGACUACUAGUUCUCGCCGCUCCCGGAUACUUGGCCUUGUCUUUGGGAGAAGGUCUUUGAAGAGGGAAGAUGGUGGGGCUGUUGGUGAUGGUGAUGGAACUGAGAACAGGGUUGGUUCCUUGGAGCGGGCCCAGAUUGCGGCUAACUUGUUAGACAUCAAGUGGUCCACCAAUCUCUCCGCGGAACAAGGGCAAGAUGCUCUUGCUAACCCGUCUGGGGAUGGUGAGGUGGUUGUGGAGAAUGGUGAAUUGAAUGAGGAAUCUUGUUUUGAUGGUGAGUGUGACUUGAAUGGGAAGGAAGUCAUGUAUGAUACUGCAGGGUCUGAUGUGCAAGUUGCAUGUGUGGAGAUGGAGGUUGAGGCAUGCGUAGAAAAGGGAUUGAAUGGAGAAGAGCUUUCUAUUGAUGCGCCGGGUAAAAAUAGUAAUGAAACAUCAUCAGAGACUUCCAAGUUGGGCGUGGAUUGUUCUAGUGAACAAGCUCACGGGGAAGUUAAUGUCCAUGUCCACGAUGAUGAAGUCUUGCAUGGUUCUGCAACUGUACUGCUAGCUGAGGAUACAGAAGCUGAGGAAGUUAUUGAGAAUGCUGCUCUUGAGUUUUAUUCUCGGGUUCAGCAAACAGCUAGUUCAGAUUCUGAUGAUGUUAGGUACAAUGAGGUGGUUGUUGAAGAGCAACCAACAUCUCCAAAACCUCAAACUGUCAAAAUGGGCCUAGGACAUUAUUCAAAUGAGAAAAAAGUUGAGCCAAAUUGUGUUAUCAAAAAUGUCUCUAGCACACUAUCAUCUCCAAGUAAAGCAUCAAGGAGAUCAUCAUCACCAAGUUCAGAGGACGAAAAUUUCCUUUUUAGUGACCUUGACAAAAGUGUAAUCAAUGAUCGAUUCGAGAGAUCAUUCUCCCCUGAACAUGUAGAUAAAGAAGAUCAUGUUUCUUAUGGGAAUGACACUGAAAAGUUAACAGCAAUAUCCAAUCCCAUAGUCAUUCCCAGAACCAUAGCUGCGGUGGAGGAAGUUGUGCAGCUUUCGGGAUCCUUGCCAAAUAUUUCUUCUGGUAGUGACAUCAUGGUCGAAUACGAUGUUCAUUAUCCUUUGAGUCAAUCACUGGACUCAAAUUCCACAUCCUUGCCAUGGGCAUUUCCUGGAAAAGAUGACUUGGAAUGUCUAAAAUCAGAUGAAGACAAAAGAAACCAGUUACCACAUGAGGAGCAAGGUGCUAAGGAUUACAAUGAUUCUGGGGAAUUCAAAGGAGAUCCAUCAACACACAACCCUUCCCCUGGUGGAAGUUGGAGAAUUUGGCCUUUCUCCUUGAGGAGAGCAGGAUCUAGCAAGUCUAUGUUGCCGCCUUCUCCAAGUAAUGCCAACAACGCUACUUUUGUUAAUUCUCCAGAGAAUACGACUAGUACUGAUAUGAACAAAAAUGAGCUCAAACCCAAUUUAAUGAAAAAGAAGGUUAAGGAAAUGACUCCAACCUCUGAACAGCUAGCCUCAUUGAAUCUGAAGGAUGGGAUGAAUACUGUAACCUUCACCUUCUCUACAGCUGUGCUGGGGAAGCAGCAGGUUGACUGUCGAAUCUAUUUGUGGAAAUGGAACACUCGUAUAGUGAUCUCAGAUGUGGAUGGUACAAUUACAAGGUCAGAUGUUCUUGGUCAGUUCAUGCCUUUGGUUGGUAUUGACUGGUCACAGACAGGUGUUGCACAUUUAUUCUCCGCAAUCAAGGAAAAUGGUUACCAACUGCUUUUUCUCAGUGCUCGUUCAAUUUCUCAGGCCUAUAUUACACGGCAAUUCUUAGUUAACCUUAAACAGGAUGGAAAAGUUUUACCAGAUGGUCCUGUUGUUAUUUCCCCUGAUGGACUUUUUCCCUCUCUAUAUCGAGAAGUUAUUAGGAGGGUUCCUCAUGAAUUCAAAAUUGCAUGCUUAGAGGACAUCAAGGCACUUUUUCCUUCUGAUAGCAGUCCAUUCUAUGCUGGUUUUGGUAAUAGGGAUACUGAUGAAAUCAGCUACCUUAAGGUUGGAAUUCCCCUAGGAAAAAUCUUCAUUAUUAAUCCCAGGGGAGAGGUGGUUGUAAACCGUCGUGUUGACACAAAAUCAUAUACUUCUCUGCAUGCUCUCGUGAAUGGAAUGUUCCCCCCUACUAGCUCUUCUGAGCAGGAGGACUUUAACUCAUGGAAUUUCUGGAAACUACCCCCUCCUGCCAUGGAUAUUUGAAAGGGUCCCAUGAAUUUUUGGGCUCAAUUAUGCGGUAUGGAUGGGCGCAGGCUGUCCUGCUUCAAAAAUUUUAUGGGUUAUAUGUAUCUGAGCCCAAUGAGAACCACCUGAUUCUGUUGAUGACAUGCACUGUGAAUUGAUUAAUCGGAAUGCAUAGCAAUUUGAAAAUUUGGUGGAUGGGAUUCGUAUGAAAGAGCAAGAUGGAACUUCUUCCCUGUUUGACGCUGCGAGAUCAAAUCCAUUUUUGUCGUUGGUUAGUUUUAAUGUUAACCCGUGACCACCAAAGUCAUGAAAUCACACACACAUUUGAUAUCAUUUCUUGAUUAUAGAUAGAUUAGUACACAGCGAAGUCCUUUUCAUUUGAUUGCAAACUUGUAUAUGUAUGUAAUUAUGUACUUGAGUGAUGCCUCUUCAGUUUUAUUAUUCUACCAUAUAGAAAAGCUUAUACUUGUUUUCAUUCGUUCUUAUUUUACAAUAAUUAUAAAUGAACACCUUAAUCACAUAAACACC